CAGUCGAGCGCAGGAAGCCGUCUGAACCCUUCGGGGGGACGACGGUGGAAUGAGCGGCGGACGGGUGAGUAACACGUAAAGAACCUGCCCAUAGGUCUGGGAUAACCACGAGAAAUCGGGGCUAAUACCGGAUGUGUCAUCGGACCGCAUGGUCCGCUGAUGAAAGGCGCUUCGGCGUCGCCCAUGGAUGGCUUUGCGGUGCAUUAGCUAGUUGGUGGGGUAACGGCCCACCAAGGCGACGAUGCAUAGCCGACCUGAGAGGGUGAUCGGCCACACUGGGACUGAGACACGGCCCAAACUCCUACGGGAGGCAGCAGUAGGGAAUCUUCCACAAUGGACGAAAGUCUGAUGGAGCAACGCCGCGUGAACGAUGAAGGCUUUCGGGUCGUAAAGUUCUGUUGUAAGGGAAGAACAAGUGCCGCAGGCAAUGGCGGCACCUUGACGGUACCUUGCGAGAAAGCCACGGCUAACUACGUG
rnacentral:rRNA from 1 species